rnacentral:rRNA from 1 species
UGCAAGUCGAGGGGUAACGGAAGUAGCUUGCUACUAGACGACGACCGGCGCACGGGUGAGUAACGCGUAUGUAAUCUGCCUUGUACAGAGGGAUAGCCCAGAGAAAUUUGGAUUAAUACCUCAUAGUAUUACCGAAUCGCAUGAUUCGGUAAUUAAAGCUCCGGCGGUACAAGAUGAACAUGCGUGACAUUAGCUAGUUGGUAAGGUAAUGGCUUACCAAGGCCACGAUGUCUAGGGGUUCUGAGAGGAUGAUCCCCCACACUGGUACUGAGACACGGACCAGACUCCUACGGGAGGCAGCAGUGAGGAAUAUUGGUCAAUGGACGCAAGUCUGAACCAGCCAUCCCGCGUGAAGGAUGACUGCCCUAUGGGUUGUAAACUUCUUUUAUAUGCAAAUAAACCUACUUUCGUGAAAGUAGCUGAAGGUAGCAUAUGAAUAAACACCGGCUAACUCCGUGCCAGCAGCCGCGGUAAUACGGAGGGUGUA